UACGAAGGGGGCUAGCGUUGCUCGGAAUUACUGGGCGUAAAGCGCACGUAGGCGGCUUCUUAAGUCGGUGGUGAAAUCCUGGAGCUCAACUCCAGAACUGCCUUCGAUACUGGGAAGCUCGAGUCCGGGAGAGGUGAGUGGAAUUCCCGGUGUAGCGGUGAAAUGCGCAGAUAUCGGGAAGAACACCCGUGGCGAAGGCGGCUCUCUGGGACGGUACUGACGCUGAGACGCGAAAGCGUGGGGAGCGAACAGG
rnacentral:rRNA from 1 species